rnacentral:ribozyme from 1 species
ACAAUAAAAAAGCAAAAAGAAAACAAAAAAUAAACACAAUUUCCCAUGUCUCUUCAACUUGUACAAUCGAUUUUGUUUUUGUUUCAUCUGUCAACUUGUUCUCCUUGUUUUGC